rnacentral:rRNA from 1 species
GCGACGACCGGCGCACGGGUGAGUAACGCGUAUCCAACCUGCCCAUAACUAAGGGAUAAUCCGUAGAAAUGCGGUCUAAUACCUUAUGUGUUCCGACGAGGACAUCUGAAUUGGAAUAAAGAUUUAUCGGUUAUGGAUGGGGAUGCGUCUGAUUAGAUUGUUGGCGGGGCAACGGCCCACCAAGUCUACGAUCAGUAGGGGUUCUGAGAGGAAGGUCCCCCACAUUGGAACUGAGACACGGUCCAAACUCCUACGGGAGGCAGCAGUGAGGAAUAUUGGUCAAUGGGCGGGAGCCUGAACCAGCCAAGUAGCGUGCAGGAUGACGGCCCUAUGGGUUGUAAACUGCUUUUGUAUGGGGAUAAAGUGCUCCACGUGUGGAGUUUUGCAGGUACCAUACGAAUAAGGACCGGCUAAUUCCGUGCCAGCAGCCGCGGUAAUACGGAAGGUCCGGGCGUUAUCCGGAUUUAUUGGGUUUAAAGGGAGCGUAGGCCGUGGAUUAAGUGUGUUGUGAAAUGCAGGCGCUCAACGUCUGACUUGCAGCGCAUACUGGUCCAUUUGAGUGCGCACAACGCGGGCGGAAUUUGUCGUGUAGCGGUGAAAUGCUUAGAUAUGACGAAGAACCCCGAUUGCGAAGGCAGCUCGCGGGAGCGCAACUGACGCUGAAGCUCGAAAGUGCGGGUAUCGAACAGGAUUAGAUACCCUGGUAGUCCGCACGGUAACGAUGGAUGCCCGCUUUUCGGUCAUUAGACCGUGAGGCCAAGUGAAAACAUUAAGCAUCCCACCUGGGGAGUACGCCGGCA